rnacentral:tRNA from 1 species
AGGAUUAUAGUUUAUGUAAAACAUAUGAUUUGCACUCAUAAAAAAUUAAAUCUAAUUAAUCUUA